ensembl:lncRNA LOHAN2 lncRNA oncogene in head and neck cancer 2
ACUGAAUUCUGAUGGGCUACCUGGAACUGGCUUAGGGUGGGAUUACAUACGCCUCCUGCCACAUCGGAUUUCCUUCUAUUUUGUCAGGGGUGGCAUCAUCCAGUGAGUAAAUCUGUUAGUGAUCUCCCUCGCAUAACCUAGGAAUUCUCUCAGGAUCCAUUUUUCCAGUAGUUUUGAGAAAGCGACCAACAACAGCAAAGAGAGUAGUUCUUCCAUUCCAAGAGCAGCCAUCUUGCUUAACUGACAAACUAGAGAGAACUGCAAGGACUCAGUACAUCCCUGGCACAGUCCAUUCUCUCUCACAGCAUAUUGUAUGAGACUGUGUGAGUGCUGCUUCCACGCUACACUAAAAACCCAUGGUCCCUGCAUUAUUUGAGCAACUGACAAGCUUCUGAAGUUCAGGUUCGCGAACGCUGAGAGCAGCACCCAGUGGAUUUGUGGCAGAUUUUUGAUGAACCAAGCUGGCUGGUGUCGCCUCAGUUUGUCUAAAUUACCAAGGACCGCUGGAAUUUCCCUGGGAAUAUGUUUCGGGAAAGAAAACAACAAUGUGUUUUUGGAGGUGAUCAGAUAACAUCAUUGAGGUUGAUCUCAAGAUGUGGAACAGUGGGCUGGGAGUGCUGGGCUGGCCUUCUGUUCUCCAGUUGCUGGGACAAUGGUGGAGGUGAGGAAGGUCACAGAAACCCAACUUCCAACUUCUGGAGUCUCAUUCAUUGAGAGCUUUGACCUUCUGAGGCUGCUGCACUGCCUGUGCCUGCGGUAGGCAGGAAGUAAGAGGGAAUUAACACCUGGGAGCAGGUGUCCAAAUGCACAGCAGGGUUAGUGUGUAAAUAAAAUACACCAGCUCCCUUUCCCCUGAGGUGGAAUAACUGUGAGGUGUGAGUUCUACACUCUUCCAUGAGUUCUGUCUUGAAAUGAAGUUCCUGUUGCCCACAGUUGAAACUUGCUGGAUAAUGUUCUCUUUAUGAUCAUCCUUCUCUUUUCUUGUUUGUUCUUAUGCUUCUCUCAGUUCCUGGGAUCACCUUACAAAUAAAUGAAUUUUACUUG